rnacentral:lncRNA from 1 species
AUCGUUACCAAAUAUGGACAACAGUAGUAGACUGGAUACACCCCGACCUUAAACGUAUAGUAAUUGAAUACGUGGAUAGAAUUAUUUUCCAUGAAAACUACAAUGCAGGCACUUACCAAAAUGACAUCGCUUUGAUUGAAAUGAAAAAAGACGGAAACAAAAAAGAUUGUGAGCUGCCUCGUUCCAUCCCUGCCUGUGUCCCCUGGUCUCCUUACCUAUUCCAACCUAAUGAUACAUGCAUCGUUUCUGGCUGGGGACGAGAAAAAGAUAACGAAAGAGUCUUUUCACUUCAGUGGGGUGAAGUUAAACUAAUAAGCAACUGCUCUAAGUUUUACGGAAAUCGUUUCUAUGAAAAAGAAAUGGAAUGUGCAGACUGUUGCUCUGUUGCCCAGGCUGGAGUGCAGUGGCACGAUCUCAGCUCACUGCAACCUCCACCUCCUAGGUUCAAGCAAUUCUCCUGCCUCAGCCUCCCGAGUAGCUGGGAUUACAGGCACCUGCCACCACGCCCAGAGUCUCGCUCUGUGCCCCAAGCUGGAGUGCAGUGGUGCAAUCUCAGCUCACUGCAACAUCCAUCCACCUCCUGGGUUCAAGUGAUUCUCCUGCCUCCGCCUCCCGAGUAGCUGGGAUUACAGGUGCCCGCCACCACGCCCAGCUAAUUUUCUGUAUUUUUGGUAGAGAUGGGGUUUCACCAUGUCAGCCAGGCUGGUCUCGAACUUCUGACCUCAGGAGUUCCAGGCCUCCCAAGGUGCUGGGAUUACAGGCGUAAACCACCGCGCUUGGUCUGCCCAAUACUUUCAACAUUGCUCUGGAUCUUACUGUAAAAUUCUUGGAAACUGCUGUGAUACUAAGAUAACCAGAUAUUUACA